UACGUAGGUGGCGAGCGUUGUCCGGAUUUAUUGGGUUUAAAGGGUGCGUAGGCGGUCUUAUAAGUCAGUGCUGAAAUAUCCCGGCUUAACCGGGAGGGUGGCAUUGAUACUGUAAGACUUGAGUAAAGUUGAGGUGGGCGGAAUUGACGGUGUAGCGGUGAAAUGCUUAGAUAUCGUCAAGAACACCGAUUGCGAAGGCAGCUCACUAAGCUUUAACUGACGCUGAGGCACGAAAGUGUGGGGAUCAAACAGG
rnacentral:rRNA from 1 species